UCGGUCCUACGGGGCGCAGCAGUGAGGAAUAUUGGUCAAUGGCCGAGAGGCUGAACCAGCCAAGUAGCGUGCAGGAUGACGGCCCUCGUGGUUGUAAACUGCUUUUAGUCGGGAAUAAAAGGGGGUUCGUGAAUCCCGUAUUGUAUGUACCGUCAGAAAAAGGACCGGCUAAUUCCGUGCCAGCAGCCGCGGUAAUACGGAAGGUCCGGGCGUUAUCCGGAUUUAUUGGGUUUAAAGGGUGCGUAGGCGGUCGGAUAAGUUAGAGGGGAAAUCCCGAGGCUCAACUUCGGAAUUGCCUCUGAUAC
rnacentral:rRNA from 1 species